rnacentral:rRNA from 1 species
CCUACGGGAGGCAGCAGUGAGGAAUAUUGGUCAAUGGCCGGGAGGCUGAACCAGCCAAGUCGCGUGAGGGAAGACGGCCCUACGGGUUGUAAACCUCUUUUGUCAGGGAGCAAGGUGCAGGUCGGGACCUGCUGUGAGAGUACCUGAAGAAAAAGCAUCGGCUAACUCCGUGCCAGCAGCCGCGGUAAUACGGAGGAUGCGAGCGUUAUCCGGAUUUAUUGGGUUUAAAGGGUGCGAAGGCGGAGGCACAAGUCAGCGGUAAAAUCGCGGGGUUCAACCCCGCUCCGCCGUUGAAACUGUGUGCCUUGAGUGCGCGAAGGGUAGGCGGAAUGCGUGGUGUAGCGGUGAAAUGCAUAGAUAUCACGCAGAACUCCGAUCGCGAAGGCAGCCUACCGGCGCGCAACUGACGCUCAUGCACGAAAGCGUGGGUAUCGAACAGGAUUAGAUACCCGGGUAGUC